GCAAGUCGAACGGUAACAGCAGAGCUUGCUCUCUGGCGACGAGUGGCGGACGGGUGAGUAACGCGUGGGAAUCUGCCUAGUAGUGGGGGACAACUCGAGGAAACUCGAGCUAAUACCGCAUACGCCCUACGGGGGAAAGCGGGGGAUCUUCGGACCUCGCGCUAUUAGAUGAGCCCGCGUCGGAUUAGCUAGUUGGUGAGGUAAAGGCUCACCAAGGCGACGAUCCGUAGCUGGUCUGAGAGGACGACC
rnacentral:rRNA from 1 species